GUGUUCUAGAAAAUUAAUAUAAAUGUAACUAAAGUUUUUUGUUGGAUUACGUGAGGACUGAGAGAGGAUUGGUAAUAUGCUUGGCUUUGGCUCAUUGGUGCGCACAUCUCAAAAAGAACAAAAAAUGGACUGAGUGAGAAGAUGAGAUAGAAGAAUGAUGGGGUCCAGAUCCUCCGUGAUCUUCUUGCUUGAUGUGCACCAUGUUUGCAAAACAAGGCAUACAUGAUUCUGAUGAAAAGGAAGCCCCCAGUGAGAACCCAGAGGCGACAGUGGCACGGAAAAACUCCCUAGAAGGAAGAAACCUCGGAAGGAACCAGACUCUAAGGGGGAGCACAUCCUCCAGGGGCCGGCAGAGGAAGUCAAAUGAGCAAGAUG